CUAUAGCUGCCGCAAUCCAGGCCUUCCACUGUCCGUAGAAAGAGAAGGAGAAGAGCACCUGUACAGUUUUUCCAAUUCAAAAAAGAAAAGGAGCUGAAAACGUUUUCUGACACGGAACAAUGGCACAACAGAAUCAGUCACAUUUCUCCAUAAAGGCAGAGAAUAUAAAAACAACUUUGAUAACAUUGAUUAAAUUUCCAAAUGAAUCCAAGUGCCCUCUUUGUAAAAAGCACAGAGACUACAGCAUCCUGCUACGUCACCUUCAGAGUCAUGAAGGCCACAUUGUCAAGUAUGCAGGUUUCCAAAGGACCAUUUUGUGGUGUCUCUGUAUUUCAUCCUCGAGGCCCCCUUCAGUUUUAAUGAGUUGUAUCUCAACAUUAGUCCUCUCUUCUUUCAUUGUAGUAUUUGUAGAGGGAGGAUUUUAUCUGGUUGCUGGUUCCGAUUUUUGUCACCUUCUACAAUUUGUGUUGGAUAUUUGUGUUAUGUUUAACUUAUUUUAUUAUAUUUGUUUUUUUUUUUAAUUUCAGCAUACUGUCCAUAGUGGUUUUGAAGUUCCAGAAACGCCUACCUUUCAAAAUCCAGAUCAUUUAAAUGUAUGUUUAUAAUGGUUUGCAUAAAUAUUUUUGUAACAUUAAACUCCUUUUAGAAUGACAUGCUGGCUUUGUGGAAGAGCUGGUGUAGAAUGUUACUUGAGAACUCCAGCACCAAGGGGUUUAGACUUUAUUGAGCCAUUAAUGAGAAGACAGAGUAAAGACUUGGCACUACAUCUGAAAUGAACAAAUGUCUUGCUAUUCUGUUCCAUAGCACUGCAUUCUGCAGAUUUCAGAUUUUUUCUUUUAGAAGAAACGUCAGCGUCCCUUCUCCAACAUCCAGCACAGGGCACUGAUGAGCAGCAGCAUGGAAUCCUUCAGCAUUUCACCGAGGCACAGAAGUGGUGUGCUGAGAACAUUUCUGUGUUCAGAGGGCGAAUCUCACUCCCUGCAUUACUGUCAAUGGACAAAGACGACACUGAGGAGGCCCUUCAGAAAUUUGAUUUGCUAUCUGAAUUUCCAGAAGAAGAAGAGAGAGAAUAUGUCUUUAGACAUAUUUUUUUCACUUAUGGAAGACAUGCAUCUGUUUUUAGAUUAACGUGAGAGGAAAAAGGAAAAUGACUGAGUUUUGUGAGAAAAUGUAACAAACAUACAUGUCCCUCAUUGUUCAGUUACAACCUACAAUUCUUGUUCUAUAUUUUAUAUAUUCUUUAACUUUUUUGUAAUAAAUGUUUAAAACCAACUUCA